GCGGACGGGGUGAGAACACGUGGUAACCUGCCCAAGAGACUGGGAUAACACCUGGAACAGAUGCUAAUACCGGAUAACCACACUAGACGCAUGUCUAGAGUUUAAAAGAUGGUUCUGCUAUCACUCUUGGAUGGACCUGCGGUGCAUUAGCUAGUUGGUAAGGUAACGGCUUACCAAGGCAAUGAUGCAUAGCCGAGUUGAGAGACUGAUCGGCCACAUUGGGACUGAGACACGGCCCAAACUCCUACGGGAGGCAGCAGUAGGGAAUCUUCCACAAUGGACGCAAGUCUGAUGGAGCAACGCCGCGUGAGUGAAGAAGGGUUUCGGCUCGUAAAGCUCUGUUGGUAGUGAAGAAAGAUAGAGGUAGUAACUGGCCUUUAUUUGACGGUAAUUACUUAGAAAGUCACGGCUAACUACGUGCCAGCAGCCGCGGUAAUACGUAGGUGGCAAGCGUUGUCCGGAUUUAUUGGGCGUAAAGCGAGUGCAGGCGGUUCAAUAAGUCUGAUGUGAAAGCCUUCGGCUCAACCGGAGAAUUGCAUCAGAAACUGUUGAACUUGAGUGCAGAAGAGGAGAGUGGAACUCCAUGUGUAGCGGUGGAAUGCGUAGAUAUAUGGAAGAACACCAGUGGCGAAGG
rnacentral:rRNA from 1 species